GGUUGUGAGGGCAAUCUGGCUGCGACAUCUGUCAUCCCAUCAAUCACCAGGGUUGAUUUGGCUGUUCUGGCUGCCUCGGCGGGUGUCUCCUUCCUCCCUCACUGCUCCAUGUACCUCCCUCCUGAAUCUGCAGCUGAACGGCAGAGGACAACCUUCCCCGAUAGAGGAGGAGCAUUCUUCCUCCCUCAAGGGUGUAGGAGUAGUAGUGCUCCCUAUAGGAGUAGCCGUGCUCCUCUGCUAGAGCCUCCGCACAAGUUCUCAAGGUCCAUUUGCGGGAGAAUGUAGCGUAGUCAAGCUUUCAAGACACCGUACAUCCAAAUGAAGCACUACAUGUGGCAUUCUGACUUUCUUA
rnacentral:snRNA from 1 species